GGAACUAGCCUCUAUCGGGGUUUCCAUAGCAACUUACACUUACACUUGGCAUCCGGCCACCGCUGCAACACACAGCCCAAGCCCCAGAGAAGAGCCGGGAAUUGCCAACUGUGCACUUAGCCCCAAACCUUCUGAGCUCAAAUUGCAAGAUGUUUAUUGAGUGGAAUCUCUUUAAAAGCUCCCCUUUCUAGAAUUAAAUUCUCCUGAAGAUUUGGACGAACUUUAAAAAAGUUGGGAAAGACUGAAAACUGAAAUCGACUUGGGGGAGGAGGGGGUGGCGGUGGGAAAUCCUCUAGGUUAUUUGAACAAACUGAGUAUGAAAGCAAGAGAAACAACUUUAAACAGUAGGAUUGUGACAAUAUGCAAAGGACCAUGUGACCAGCCCAUUCCCUACGUUAAAUCAACACCUUGUCAACACAGAAUAGCGACUAGAGUGAAAAACAAAUGUCAUUUUCUCAGCCUGCAGUUCAUAGCAAGCUCUAGAAGAUGAAAUGGCAUUACCAACAGAUACAUUACAGGGAAGGACUGCUGGAUACGAAACACCAACUGGCAAUCUAGUAAAUCAAAUUGCUACAAGUCCUCCAAAAAAAACCUUUCUUACCCCACUCCUCUUUUUAUUUGAGACCUCAAACGGAGCACACAGGCUAAGUGUCCUGACCUUUCUGACACAUAUUCUGAAAGUUUUCUUAAACAGAAACUUGUGAAUUUGUGAAACCCACGAAAUGAUGUAACAGUUAUUCUAAUUUUCUUCAGAUUUGGAUACAUAAUAGAGAAACACAAUACAACACACCUCGAUGUCUAAUGGCUUCGACUACUGGUCAACCUACUAAGAAAGGGCUUAAAAAGGCUUUUGUUGAAGAGAUCACAACUCCAAUGAAUGACAAAUAAGAAUGCUAGAUAACUACAUUUGAAACAAACAAGCCUCUUAACAUACUGAAUAGACAGAAUAUACAUUUACGUUAAAUCUCAAAGAAUCAUGGAAAAGCAAGGUAUAUGUUUCACUAUAUUUUGGGCACAAAGAUCACUUCAGUGACCUCCAAAACAAAAUUCCCUUUAUCUAUAUGACACGUUCUUCUCCAAAAAGUUAAGCCCAGAAGGCAGUAUUUCACUUUGUAAAAGUGUAUCAAAGUGAUUCCAUUAAACAUUCAGUUUAUGAAGUGAUUCCAAUGCGGAAAAGAUGGCUACAGUUCACAGAUAGCUUAUGGACAAUCAACUCCUCUUGAAUCCCAAACAUGCAUAAACUGAACAAACAGCUGUGGAGGGUCAUCUCUGUUGGUUGGCUUAAGAAGUGUUCCAAGUGUGAAGUUCUAGACCAAAAUCUUGGGGAAAAUACUAAAUCUGACUUAAAACUCACACAAUCUCUACAUAUUUGCCAAGAGGUUGGCCUCAAUCAGAUAAGACUUGUCAUAAUGCUGCACAUCACCUUGCUAUCUAAAAAAACUUCAGCUCCUUCUUCCUACUCUCCCUUUUGAAAGUGCAGGAAAACUAAUGAAGACCUCAAGUAUGGUCCUUUUACAACUUAAACAUGAUUUGAGGAAUAGCCUCUCUGCCUAGAUAGGUUGAUAACAUCUGUGAAUAACUCAGAGUUCCAACAUAGAAACUGUCAAUUAAGCAAGAAAAAGUGCAAUUGUAAUUACAAUUACAAUGUUAAAAAUACCCAAUGGUAAUAACUUGACAUUAUAUGACACUCAGGCUAGGGCUGUCAGUUUUGUUAGAGGCCUGACACCAGUUAUGUCAAAAUGAAAGAAAACAGAAGCAAGUUCUUAUGUUAACAAUCAGCUUGGCUAUUUGCAAUCUAAGAAAUGCAAAUGAACUCCAUCACUGGAGUAAGCAACUCUUUAUAAGUAUGUGCAAAGUGGAGGUUAACUUAAGUCCUACCACACUUUUGCCAGUUUGGUUGUUUAACAUACAACCAAGAAGUUGGCUGUAAUAAUUCAUCUAUUACAUCCAGCUGAAUUUCUAAAUUCCAUUCAACAAUGGAGUAUUUUAUUCAGCUUUAAGUGAACUUUUAAUAAGUGCAAAAUUUGACAAAGCACAAUCACACUGCAGUAAAGAUAGAAAUGAACAACAAAAAGUUUAUAAUUAUGUUCAUCAAAUUAAGUGCUUGGACAAUGUAAUCAGUCACUCUGAAAUAAACUCAAUUGUUAAUGCACUGUGA